GAGAGAUGGUCGAGUGGUCGAAGGCGCCACAUUGGAAAUGUGGUUAGGGGCAACUCUACGUGGGUUCGAAUCCCACUCUCUCC
rnacentral:tRNA from 1 species